rnacentral:rRNA from 1 species
UGAACGCUGGCGGCGUGCCUAAUACAUGCAAGUCGAGCGAACAGACGAGGAGCUUGCUCCUCUGACGUUAGCGGCGGACGGGUGAGUAACACGUGGAUAACCUACCUAUAAGACUGGGAUAACUUCGGGAAACCGGAGCUAAUACCGGAUAAUAUAUUGAACCGCAUGGUUCAAUAGUGAAAGACGGUUUUGCUGUCACUUAUAGAUGGAUCCGCGCCGCAUUAGCUAGUUGGUAAGGUAACGGCUUACCAAGGCAACGAUGCGUAGCCGACCUGAGAGGGUGAUCGGCCACACUGGAACUGAGACACGGUCCAGACUCCUACGGGAGGCAGCAGUAGGGAAUCUUCCGCAAUGGGCGAAAGCCUGACGGAGCAACGCCGCGUGAGUGAUGAAGGUCCUCGGAUCGUAAAACUCUGUUAUUAGGGAAGAACAAAUGUGUAAGUAACUAUGCACGUCUUGACGGUACCUAACCAGAAAGCCACGGCUAACUACGUG